rnacentral:rRNA from 1 species
UACAGGGGGGGCAAGCGUUAUUCGGAUUCACUGGGCGUAAAGGGUGCGCAGGCGGUUGGGUGUGUCAGAUGUGAAAUCCCGAGGCUUAACCUCGGAACUGCGUCUGAAACUACUCGACUAGAGUAUUGGAGAGGGUAACGGAAUUCACGGUGUAGCAGUGAAAUGCGUAGAUAUCGUGAGGAAGACCAGUGGCGAAGGCGAAUCUCUGGACAGUUACUGACGCUGAGGCACGAAGGCCAGGGGAGCAAACGGG